GAAGAAACCUAGAGAGGAACCAGGCUAUGUGGGGUGGCCAGUCCUCUUCUGGCUGUGCCGGGUGGAGAUUAUAACAGAACAUGGCCAAGAUGAUUAGGUUAAUGGGGAGAGAUGGGAGGUAGUUAGAUAUGAGGAGAGAUUGGAGGUAGUUAGAUACUGGAUAAUUAGGUUAAUGGGGAGAGAUGGGAGGUAGUUAGAUAUGAGGAGAGAUUGGAGGUAGAUACUGGAAAAUCAGGUUAACGGUGGGAUAUGAGGAGAGAUGGGAGGUAGUUAGAUACUGGAGAAUCAGGUUAAUGGGGAGAGACGGGAGGUAGUUAGAAGAUAUAAAAUGUGAAGAUUUUAACACUGAUGCCAAAGACACACUUUGAAACACCUUCACGACAGAAGCUCAAGCAGAUGGAAAAUGUGAGAUUUGACUCUGAAAGAAAUGAAUGUUUUGUCCUGAAUAGAAUGUUGCCAUUUAUAUGUCAGAGCAAAAGCUCAGCAGGAAAAUACUGUAUUACUAGAUUGGGAAUCAAAACUGUCCCCUGGGAUAUUUUUGGCAGCACAACACCGUGUCAUCUGAAUGUUAAAUCGUGAUUUAUACUGUCUAUUUACAUUUAAUUCAGACAAGAGCUGAAAUAUUAGUAACAUGCUUGUCUCUAUGGUAAUAUACAGUAUAUUAUAAUGGUAACAUAUCAUGCUUGUCUCUAUGGUAAUAUACAGUAUAUUAUAAUAUUAGUAACAUAUCAUGCUUGUCUCUAUGGUAAUAUACGGUAUAUUAUAAUAUUAGUAACAUGCUUGUCUCUCUGGUAAUAUACAGUAUAUUAUAAUAUUAGUAACAUGCUUGUCUCUAUGGUAAUAUACAGUAUAUUAUAAUAUUAGUAACAUGCUUGUCUCUAUGGUAAUAUACAGUAUAUUAUAAUAUUAGUAACAUGCUUGUCUCUAUGGUAAUAUACAGUAUAUUAUAAUGGUAACAUAUCAUGCUUGUCUCUAUGGUAAUAUACAGUAUAUUAUAAUAUUAGUAACAUGCUUGUCUCAUUGGUAAUAUACAGUAUAUUAUAAUAUUAGUAACAUGCUUGUCUCUAUGGUAAUAUACAGUAUAUUAUAAUAUUAGUAACAUGCUUGUCUCUAUGGUAAUACAGUAUAUUAUAAUAUUAGUAACAUGCUUGUCUCUAUGGUAAUAUACAGUAUAUUAUAAUAUUAGUAACAUAUCAUGCUUGUCUCUAUGGUAAUAUACAGUAUAUUAUAAUAUUAGUAACAUAUCAUGCUUGUCUCUAUGGUAAUAUACAGUAUAUUAUAAUAUUAGUAACAUGCUUGUCUCUAUGGUAAUAUACAGUAUAUUAUAAUAUUAGUAUCAUGCUUGUCUCUAUGGUAAUACAGUAUAUUAUAAUAUUAGUAACAUGCUUGUCUCUAUGGUAAUAUACAGUAUAUUAUAAUAUUAGUAACAUGCUUGUCUCUAUGGUAAUAUACAGUAUAUUAUAAUGGUAACAUAUCAUGCUUGUCUCUAUGGUAAUAUACAGUAUAUUAUAAUAUUAGUAACAUGCUUGUCUCUAUGGUAAUAUACAGUAUAUUAUAAUAUUAGUAACAUAUCAUGCUUGUCUCUGGUAAUAUACAGUAUAUUAUAAUAUUAGUAACAUGCUUGUCUCUAUGGUAAUAUACAGUAUAUUAUAGCAUUAUAGAGAUAUAUGGAGUGCAGGACUAGGACUAUAGACAGUAUAUUAUAGCGUUAUGGAGAUAUAUGGAGUGCAGGACUAGGACUAUAGACAGUAUAUUAUAGCGUUAUGGAGAUAUAUGGAGUGCAGGACUAGGACUAUAGACAGUAUAUUAUAGCGUUAUGGAGAUAUAUGGAGUGCAGGACUAGGAGUAUAUACAAGCCAGCGUCACUGUAUUACAAUUAAUAGCUAUUGAGUUAAUGAAUAUAUUUAUUCCAUAUCAUGAUUAUGUCUUUCACUACUGUAGAGAGAGAAUUCUCCCCUUUAAAAACUUCUAGUAUGUGCUUGGCCAUUCUGAGCCUUAUGAGUCGAUGGUCUACCAUUCUGAGCCUUAUGAGUCGAUGGUCUACCAUUCUGAGCCUUAUGAAUGGAUGGUCUACCAUUCUGAGCCUUAUGAAUGGAUGGUCUACCAUUCUGAGCCUUGUGGAUGGAUGGUCUACCAUUCUGAGCCUUGUGGAUGGAUGGUCUACCAUUCUGAGCCUUGUGGAUG
ensembl:lncRNA